UAGGGAAUCUUCGGCAAUGGGGGCAACCCUGACCGAGCAACGCCGCGUGAGUGAAGAAGGUUUUCGGAUCGUAAAGCUCUGUUGUAAGAGAAGAACGUGUGUGAGAGUGGAAAGUUCACACAGUGACGGUAACUUACCAGAAAGGGACGGCUAACUACGUGCCAGCAGCCGCGGUAAUACGUAGGUCCCGAGCGUUGUCCGGAUUUAUUGGGCGUAAAGCGAGCGCAGGCGGUUUAAUAAGUCUGAAGUUAAAGGCAGUGGCUUAACUAUUGUUCGCUUUGGAAACUGUUAAACUUGAGUGCAGAAGGGGAGAAUGGAAUUCCAUGUGUAGCGGUGAAAUGCGUAGAUAUAUGGAGGAACACCGGUGGCCAAAGCGGCUCUCUGGUCUGUAACUGACGCUGAGGCUCGAAAGCGUGGGGAGCAAACAGG
rnacentral:rRNA from 1 species